CACGUAGGCGGACUGGAAAGUUGGAGGUGAAAUCCCAGGGCUCAACCUUGGAACUGCCCUCAAAACUAUCAGUCUGGAGUUCGAGAGAGGUGAGUGGAAUUCCGAGUGUAGAGGUGAAAUUCGUAGAUAUUCGGAGGAACACCAGUGGCGAAGGCGGCUCACUGGCUCGAUACUGACGCUGAGGUGCGAAAGUGUGGGGAGCAAAC
rnacentral:rRNA from 1 species